rnacentral:rRNA from 1 species
CAGUCGCCGCGGGAAUACGAAGGGGGCUAGCGUUGCUCGGAAUGACUGGGCGUAAAGGGCGCGUAGGCGGCGAUCAAAGUCAGGCGUGAAAUUCCUGGGCUCAACCUGGGGGCUGCGCUUGAUACUUGGUUGCUUGAGUGGGGAAGAGGGUCGUGGAAUUCCCAGUGUAGAGGUGAAAUUCGUAGAUAUUGGGAAGAACACCGGUGGCGAAGGCGGCGACCUGGUCCUUGACUGACGCUGAGGCGCGAGAGCGUGGGGAGCAAACAGGAUUAGAUACCCGGGUAGUCCCUGUCUCUUAUAC